UACGUAGGUGGCAAGCGUUAUCCGGAUUUAUUGGGCGUAAAGGGAACGCAGGCGGUCUUUUAAGUCUGAUGUGAAAGCCUUCGGCUUAACCGGAGUAGUGCAUUGGAAACUGGGAGACUUGAGUGCAGAAGAGGAGAGUGGAACUCCAUGUGUAGCGGUGAAAUGCGUAGAUAUAUGGAAGAACACCAGUUGCGAAGGCGGCUCUCUGGACUGUAACUGACACUGAGGCACGAAAGCGUGGGGAGCAAACAGG
rnacentral:rRNA from 1 species